UACGUAGGGUGCAAGCGUUAAUCGGAAUUACUGGGCGUAAAGCGUGCGCAGGCGGUCCGUUAAGACAGAUGUGAAAUCCCCGGGCUUAACCUGGGAACUGCAUUUGUGACUGGCGGACUCGAGUAUGGCAGAGGGGGGGUAGAAUUCCACGUGUAGCAGUGAAAUGCGUAGAGAUGUGGAGGAAUACCGAUGGCGAAGGCAGCCUCCUGGGCCAACACUGAA
rnacentral:rRNA from 1 species